rnacentral:rRNA from 1 species
AGCGAACGCUGGCGGCAGGCCUAACACAUGCAAGUCGAACGAACCUUUCGGGGUUAGUGGCGUACGGGUGAGUAACACGUGGGAACGUGCCUUUAUGUUCGGCAUAACUCAGGGAAACUUGUGCUAAUACCGAAUGUGCCCUUCGGGGGAAUGAUUAAUCGCCUUUAGAGCGGCCCGCGUCUGAUUAGCUAGUUGGUUGAGGUAAUGGCUCACCAAGGCGACGAUCAGUAGCUGGUCUGAGAGGAUGAUCAGCCACAUUGGGACUGAGACACGGCCCAAACUCCUACGGGAGGCAGAAGUGGGGAAUCUUGCGCAAUGGGCGAAAGCCUGACGCAGCCAUGCCGCGUGAAUGAUGAAGGUCUUAGGAUUGUAAAAUUCUUUCACCGGGGACGAUAAUGACGGUACCCGGAGAAGAAGCCCCGGCUAACUUCGUG